UGGUCUGCUAGCUCAACUGGAUAGAGCAACUGCCUUCUAAGCAGUAGGUUUCAGGUUCGAGUCCUGAGCGGAUCACCCA
rnacentral:tRNA from 2 species